GGGGGAUUAGCUCAGUUGGCUAGAGCACCUGCCCUGCAAGCAGGGGGUCAUCGGUUCGAAUCCGAUAUUCUCCACCA
rnacentral:tRNA from 1 species